GGUGAGAAGUCGGAACUUUCAUCGGCGGGUCACGAACAGAGAGCCUGAAAUUCCGUGUCUGACGAAGCCGCCGCGUGAUGCCGUGAACAGGGGGCGCUGACGUCGCUGCGCCGGUUCGACAAGACUCGGCAGCACGAGGAGAUGAGCAACGGCAAGCGCGACGACGCGCGGCCGGAGCCGAAGGGAAAGAGCUGGAACCGAGACCGAAGGGAGAGAGAGGAGAGGAGGAGCAGAAACGAAGCAAAGUCGGCAGAAACGAAGGAGGGGCGAAGCAGCGAUGCGGCCGGGCAAAGAGGAGGGGACGAGCGAUCGGGACAGCGGGGAGGAGGUGAGCG